rnacentral:lncRNA from 7 species
CCGAGCCAGGUGUGAGCGAGGCAAAGCCCCACUGAAGACAAUGACAGUAGUUCUGUGCUGCAUGGGGAGUUAAACACCGAGCACUGCAGCAGCGUUCGUUUGGAGCAGUGUGUUUCUUAGAGCCGGGAAGGUCUGAGUGGAGGCAAAUGCAAACAGGAGCCUGCCCUUAGCCCACUGAAAGAGUUCACUGACCUCUCGUCUGCUGCACUGAAGCCUGCAGGAACCCUGGCAUAACUGACUGAAGGUCACUGUCCAUUCCUAUCCGCAUCGAUGCAGACUAGGGCUUUGGAGUGGUUGGAAAAGUAAACCAUAUCUUAGGUGCUAGAGGAGAUCAAACCUCAACAUGGACUCCUGAUGUUUUAUUUUGAUUUUCAAUACAGUUUCCUUUAUUCUGUGCUUGAUACCAGACUGAAGACUGAUUUUAGCAAUGUUUCCAAUUGCUUGUUUAUACUAAUGUCACACUGAGAUAUCCAGUGACUAACCACUGCGAAUCUUUGUCAGACAGCAGGAUGUCACCGAGUGGAAGCAGGAACAGGUGUUCUGGGAGGAGUAUAGGGAUGCUUCUGGGCUGUGUAGGGAUGGGAUCAGACAGGUCAAGACCCAGCUGGAACUGGACUUUAGCAAAGAAGAACAAGAAAGGCUUGUUCAGUUCGGAAGGUGAGAACUGGGGGAGCAGUGCCCCUCCCACUGUAAGCAAAGAUCAGGUUCUCUGACACCUGAGGAACCUGAACAUCUGUAAGUCUAUGGGUCCCCGUGAGAUGCAUCCCAGAGUCCCGAGGGAAUUGGCUUGAUGAUAUUUGAAGAGUAAUGGCAGGCAGGUGAAGUUCCUGAUGGCUGGAAAAAAGGCAAUGUCGCACCCAUUUUUAAGAAGGAUAGAAAGGACAACCCAGGGAACUGCCGACCUGUCAGCCUCACCUCUGUGCUAGGGAAGAUCAUGGAGGAGAUCCUCCUGAAAGCUAUGCUAAGGAACAUGGAGGAGAGGAGUCUUCAUUUCAGCUGGGGUGGAACUGUUUUCCUCAGAGUGCCGCCAUGAUGCUGUUUUGGUUCUAGGAGAGAAACAACGUUGGUAACACACGGAUGUUCACAGCGGCUGCUAAGCAGUGUUGGACAGAGCCAAGGCUGUUCUCAGCAAAGGGCCCAAGGAGCUGGGAGGGAACAGAGUGAGGACAGCUGACUUAAACUGGCUAAAGGGAUAUUCCAUAUGUCAUAAUCAUUAUCUUUUUCAUUACCUCAGUAAAUAGUUUUAUC